rnacentral:pre_miRNA from 1 species
UUGGAUGAAAUUAAUGUGGAUCCCACACUUUGAAAACGGAUCCCCACAUAAAAUGGUGGAGUCCUCAUUGAUUUCAUCCAA